CCCUCUGCUGCGGCCCCGCCCCCUCGGCGAAGCCCGCUCGGGCCCGCCCGGGCCCGCUCACCUGCCACGGUGAGGUUGAGCAGAGAGCGGCGGCGGCGGCCCGUGCGCGGGUUCGCGGCGAGGCAGGCGUAGGCGCCGGCGUGGCCCGGUCCGACCGCGGGCAGCAGGAGACGCGGGCCGGCGGGCACGGCGGCCUCUGUCGGGUCGGCCAGGCUCCACGCGAUGUCGGCGGGCGGCCGCGAGGCGGCGGAGCAGCGCAGGGUCACGUUACUGCCCUUGGUGACAUAGAGGGCGGGGGUGGCGUCGCGGUCCGAGGAGACCUUGAUGACCGGAGGAUCCGGGCCGUCUGGGUAGGGGAAGGGGUCGCAACCGGGAGAGUUGGGGUCACCCGGGACUCCGCCACGACCCGCGAGGACUGGACCUCCAACAACCCCCUCCUCUCCAGGGAGUCGGGACCCCGAGCGCCCAGAUCCUAGCCCCCGACCGGAGGCAUACCCCGACUCACAGAAGACACUGACGUCGGCCGCAGCCUCCGCGUGGCCGAAGGGGCUGCGGACGCGACAAGUGUACCGGGCGUGGUCGCUGCGCACAGGGUGCCCGAUGAGCAGCUGGUCGCCCUCUGUGCGGAUCCGCGGUGGCUCCGCUCCCUCAGGGUCCGCUGCCUCCAGGGUGCGUCCGUCCCGGCUCCAGCUCAGCUCCCCGCGACCCGGCCCCCACCCUCUGCAGCGCAGCUGGAGUUCGGCCGCCCCCUCCUCUAUCUCCGGGGCCUCGGGCUGCACAGACAGCUGGGGCAGGGGCUCUGGGAGAAGGGGAAUGGGCUCAGGACCCGGUCCCUGGCCCCCUCAUCCCCCAGAUCCAGGACUGCAGGCCCCGGCCUUCACUCCUCACACCCAGGACUUCAGGGCCCCAAGCCCAGGAUUUCUCCUUCUCAGGGACCCACUAAGUCCCCCAGCGCCCGGCCCCCCCCUCCCUUCCCCCACCCCCUCUUCUCCCAGAGACCCGUGAUUCCAAGCCCCCAUGAGUCUUGAUCCCCAGGCCCAACUUCUCUCAAGAACCCCUGUCUUGGCCCCCAGCCCCUAUUAUCCUUCCUCCCUCUAGCCUAGAAGUCCUCUCUCCCCUGUCCAGGAACCCCUUCCUCAGGGGAGAAAACAGGUCAGACAGCAGUGAUCUGCCCAAGGGUCUGGCAGAGCAGACCCUGUGGCCUGCACUCUGGACCUCAGUGCCCACUUACCAUAUACACCCACCAUGAACUCUCGAAUCUGCCGGGAGACCCCAGCCCGAAUGACCUCAGCAGUGUAGACCCCAGCAUCCUCUAGCUGGGCAGAGGCAAGUUCCAGGCCCCCCUGGGCCUGGUCAAAUCGUAAGCGGUCCCGGUGAGCAGGAUCCAAGCUGAUCAGGGGGGCCCCCGGCCCCAGGCCUCCAGCUGCCAGCACCUUGGAGCCUCGGCGCCAGACCACCAGAGGCGCAGGAGGGCCAAGGCUGGGAACUGGCACCAGAGGGAGCUGGAUGGUGGUCCCCACUAGCACCGACAGAGGCCUCCCCACCUGCUGGGGGAAGCUUUCCACUGGGUGGGCUACUGCAGUUACUUUGGAUUCGGGCUUCUGGGCAGAUAUUUUAAGAUCCUGAUCCUUAGGGGAGAAUUGUGAACCUGGGGUCUCAACUUCAGUCUCCAGGGCCUGAGCAGAAAUGUUUGAAGCUGGGGUCUUAACCGAGGACGGCUCUGAGUUUUCGGCAGGAACUUGAGAACCCAAGAUAUCAGAAAAUACUUCGGAACCAGGGACCUCAGGGAAGGUAGACUCUUACUACCAGACCAAGAGACUACAGCAGAAGUGAUCCCGUGCCAGUGUCUGCAUGGAGGCCCGGAGACGGGCAUAACCCACCUCACGGGUCGUAGAACACUCCCUCCUGGAAGCCAGCCACCAUGCCGUGAAGAAGCUCGAGCAGCCCACGGAAAGGAAUCAUGGCCCCUGGUCGACGGCCAGCUCAAGCCAACAACCCCAGCCAGCCAGCAUGCAGGCCAGGUGACUGAGCCAUCUCGGACAUGUAUCCCCGGGCCCCAUUUGAGACCCCAGCUGACGCCGCGUGGAGGAGAGGCGAGCUCUCCUGCCAAGCCCUGCCCAGCUUUCAGAUGUAUGGGCAAACUAAUGAUUGGUGGUUUAAGUCAGCAAGUUUUGGGGUGUCUCGUUAUGUCACAUCAACCAACCAGAACACGGGUAUUAUUACUAACGCCACCUGAGGGAGGAGGAAAUUGGCGUUCGGAGAGUAGGAACUUGCCAGGGCCUCAGGAUCCAAACCCCAAGCCCUUAACCACUACACUAAGCUCUUACUAUUUUGAUCAGCCGGAUGAGGAAACCGGAACUCAGAGAUGCAAGGUAACUCACUCAGGAUCCCACAGCUGGGAAAGUUGAGGGAGGAUCUAAAAUCACUGAGUCUGGGGGCGCCUGGGGGGGCUCAGUCGGUUGAGCAUCUGACUCUUGAUUUCGGCUCAGGUCACGAUCUCACGGUUCGUGGGAUUGAGCCCCGCGUCGGGCUCCGUGCUGACAGCGCAGAGCCCGCUUGGGAUUCUCUCCCUCCCUCUCUGCCCCUCCUCCGGGCACGUGCACAUGCGCUCUCUCUCAAAAAUAAAUAAAUACACUUAAAAAAAAUAAAAUCAUAAAA